AUACGGAGGGUGCAAGCGUUAAUCGGAAUUACUGGGCGUAAAGCGCGCGUAGGCGGUUUGGUAAGUCGGAUGUGAAAGCCCCGGGCUCAACCUGGGAAUUGCAUUCGAUACUGCCGAACUAGAGUAUGGUAGAGGGAAGUGGAAUUUCCGGUGUAGCGGUGAAAUGCGUAGAUAUCGGAAGGAACACCAGUGGCGAAGGCGACUUCCUGGGCCAAUACUGACGCUGAGGUGCGAAAGCGUGGGGAGCAAACAGGAUUAGAAACCCCAGUAGUCC
rnacentral:rRNA from 1 species